GAUGAACGCUGGCGGCGUGCCUAAUACAUGCAAGUCGAGCGGACGGACGAGACGCUUGUGUCUCUGACGUUAGCGGCGGACGGGUGUGUCACACGUGGAUAAUCUACUUAUAAGUCUGGGAUAAUCUCGGGAAACCGGAGCUUAUACCGUAUAAUAUUCUGAACCGUAUGGGUCAAUAGAGAAUGACGGUCUUGCGGUCACUUAUAGAUGGUUCCGCGCUGUAUUAGCUAGUUGGUAAGGUAACGGCUUAUCAAGGCAACGAUGCGUAGCCGACCUGAUGGGGUGGUAGGCCACACUGGAACUGAACCGCGGUCCUGACUCCUACGAGAGGGAGCAGUAGGGAAUGUUCCGCAAUGGGCGGAAGCCUGGCGGAACGACGGCGCGUGAGUGAUAGAGGUCUUCGGUUCGUGAAACUCUGUUAUUGGGGAAGAACAUAUGUGGAAGUAACUGUACACAUCGUGACGGUACCUAGUCAAGAAGCCACGGCUAACUACGUG
rnacentral:rRNA from 1 species